UAGCUCAGUUGGGAGAGCACCUGCCUUACAAGCAGGGGGUCACAGGUUCAAGUCCUGU
rnacentral:tRNA from 1 species